GAGUUUGAUCCUGGCUCAGGACGAACGCUGGCGGCGUGCUUAACACAUGCAAGUCGAACGAGAUACCGGAGCUUGCUCCGGUGGAAAGUGGCGAACGGGUGAGUAACACGUGAGAAAUCUGUCCUAGAGACCGGGACAACCAUCGGAAACGAUGGCUAAUACCGGAUACCCUCAGACGGCCGCAUGGUCGAGUGAGGAAAUGCUCAGGUGCUCUAGGAGGAUCUCACGGCCUAUCAGCUAGUUGGUGGGGUAACGGCCUACCAAGGCAUCGACGGGUAGCUGGUCUGAGAGGACGAUCAGCCACACUGGGACUGAGACACGGCCCAGACUCCUACGGGAGGCAGCAGUGGGGAAUAUUGCGCAAUGGGCGAAAGCCUGACGCAGCAACGCCGCGUGAGGGAUGACGGCUUUCGGGUUGUAAACCUCUUUCAGUGAUGACGAAAAUGACGGUAGUCACAGAAGAAGCUCCGGCCAACUACGUGCCAGCAGCCGCGGUAACACGUAGGGAGCGAGCGUUGUCCGGAUUUAUUGGGCGUAAAGAGCUCGUAGGCGGUUUCGUAAGUCGGAUGUGAAAACUCAGGGCUCAACCCUGAGACGCCAUCUGAUACUGCGAUGACUAGAGUCCGGUAGAGGAGCAUGGAAUUCCUGGUGUAGCGGUGGAAUGCGCAGAUAUCAGGAGGAACACCAACGGCGAAGGCAGUGCUCUGGGCCGGUACUGACGCUGAGGAGCGAAAGCAUGGGGAGCAAACAGGAUUAGAUACCCUGGUAGUC
rnacentral:rRNA from 1 species